UACGGAAGGCAGCAGUGGGGAAUUUUGGACAAUGGGCGCAAGCCUGAUGCAGCCAUGCCGCGUGUAUGAAGAAGGCCUUCGGGGUUGUAAAGUACUUUCAGUCGUGAGGAAGGUGUUAAGGUUAAUAACCUUAGCAAUUGACGUUAGCGACAGAAGAAGCACCGGCUAACUCCGUGCCAGCAGCCGCGGUAAUACGGAGGGUGCGAGCGUUAAUCGGAAUUACUGGGCGUAAAGGGCACGCAGGCGGUUAAUUAAGUUGGAUGUGAAAUCCCCGGGCUUAACCUGGGAAUGGCAUUCAAGACUGGUUAGCUAGAGUCUUGUAGAGGGGGGUAGAAUUCCAUGUGUAGCGGUGAAAUGCGUAGAGAUGUGGAGGAAUACCGGGUGGCGAAGGCGGCCCCCUGGGACAAAGACUGACGCUCAUGUGCGAAAGCGUGGGGAGCAAACAGGGAUUAGAUACC
rnacentral:rRNA from 1 species